GUUAACUUAUAAGAACGAAUACUCAAGAUAUUAUGAAGUCAAUAAAAGUUUCAGACAAUUCAAAAACGAAUUCUUAAAGGGGUCAAUGGCAUUAGGCUUGGUGCCUUGAGGAAUGAAGAUAAAACACUUCUACUCCAAAGGAAUUUGAGAAAACGUAAAACAAAAACUUCUUUUCUUACCUGUUAACAAAAAGAACAACACUGGGUCACUGUAUCGUACUACACAGACUGUUUGCAGCAUUAGACACUAUCUCCAUAACUCUAUCUUAUUGAAUUUCACACUGAUGGUAAAAAUUUAAUAUACAAAUUUAUAAUCAAACCAGUAGUUUUCAACAUUAACAGAUUUAGGGGAAAUAUCUGCAAAAUAUGUGGAAACAGUUA
rnacentral:lncRNA from 10 species